GAUGAACGCUGGCGGCGUGCCUAAUACAUGCAAGUCGAGCGAACAGACCAGGAGCUUGCUCCUCUGACGUUUGCCGCAGAGGGGAGUGUAACACGUGGAUACUCUACCUGUAAGACUGGGAUAACUUCGGGAAACCGGAGCAAAUACCGUAGAACAUCUUGAAGCGCAUGGGUGAACAGAGAAAGACGGUCUUGCGGUCACUUAUAGAUGGUUCCGCGCCGCAUUAGCUAGUAGGGAAGGUAAAAGGCUAUCAAGGCAAGGAUGCGUAGACGAACUGAGAGGGUGAUAGGCCACACUGGAACUGAGACACGGUCCAUGCUACUACGAGAGGCAGCAGUAGGGUACCUGACGCAAUGGGCGGAAGCAUGACGGAACAAGGGGGAGUGAGUGAAAAAGACCUUGGGAUCGUAAAAAUCUGUUAUGAGGGAAGAACAAAUGUGUAAGUAACUAUACACGGCGUGACGGUACCUAAUCAGAAAGCCACGGCUAACUACGUG
rnacentral:rRNA from 1 species